AAGUCGAACGAGAACGGGUAUUAGUUUACUAAUACUGUCAGCUAAGUGGCGCACGGGUGAGUAAUAUAUAGAUAAUGUGCCUGGAGAAGGGGAUAAUUGUCGGAAACGACUUGUAAGACCCUAUAUGCCCUUAAUACAUAAGUAUGCAGGGGAAAUAUUUAUAGCUCCAAGAUCAGUCUGUACGGUAUCAGUUAGUUGGUGAGGUAAUGGCUCACCAAGACAAUGACGCCUAACUGGUUUGAGAGGAUGAUCAGUCACACUGGAACUGAGACACGGUCCAGACUCCUACGGGAGGCAGCAGUGGGGAAUAUUGCACAGUGGACGAAAGUCUGAUGCAGCAACGCCGCGUGGAGGAUGACACAUUUCGGUGCGUAAACUCCUUUUAUAUGAGAAGAUAAUGACGGUAUCAUAUGAAUAAGCACCGGCUAACUUCGUGCCAGCAGCCGCGGUAAUACGAGGGGUGCAAGCGUUACUCGGAAUCACUGGGCGUAAAGAGCA
rnacentral:rRNA from 1 species